CCAUUGGAUGAUGAUGAUAUUAUGUCCUUUCUCCUUGUAGGACUCAACAGUGAAUAUGAUUCAUUUUUAACCUCAAUUACAACCCGGGUGGAUCCAAUCUCCAUUGAUGAACUUUAUAGUCAUCUUCUUGCUUACGAAU